rnacentral:lncRNA from 1 species
CAAAAUUAUUAUUCAACAGCUCCAGGACUGUCUAUCUCCUCAUGUACAGAGGUAGGGAUACAAAAUUAGAUAAAGGAUUAAUAUAGGUGUGAUAUUUUCAUAUGAUUGCUAAAUGUGUGGGUUUUUUUAAAAUUCAUUUUAAAGCUACAGAGUUAAAGACUAUAAGUGACAGUGAGGUAUUAAAUCAGACUGAAGGAGAGGAGGAUAACACAGAAGAAAACUCGAACAACAAGUCUGAAGGGAUGAAGGAAACUAAUUCAAAAACCUCCUGUGAACAACGUCUGGCCGACAAGACUAAGACAGAGAGGAAGGAACAAAAGGGUAACAAGAACAAGUUCAUUUCUUUCAUAAAAAAAAAAUGGAAUUCUCUGGAACAUCCCUCCGAACGUGCAGCAGGUCAGAAGCCUGUUGAGACCACUUCAGAGGAUCUGACAGACAAGUUGAAAGAAGAACAGGGUGAAGAUACUGGUCCUGAAGAACAGAAAGGAAACGAAGAACCCAAAAAACUACAGGGACUUCAUUAUGGCCGGUAUGAUCAGGGAGAUACAAAUGAUCUCAACUUACUCUUACGGAAAGAUUCCCAUGAUACAAGCUACAGUGAGGAACGCAGCUUUGAACGGACUAUCAACACAAAAUCAUUUACUGGAGACAACAAGGUGUACCUUGACGAGAAGAUGAAAAUAACAAGUAGCUCUGCUAAGAAAAUGAUCACUGAAUACAAGGUGGAACUCAUCUACUGUCUGAUGGCGGAUCAUUCCAUUAUUCUGCAGCAUGCACAUGCCAAACAGAUCAUCACAGACAGACAAUAUCAGAAUAUAAGGGAAAAGUCUACCUCAACACCACAAGAAACUGUCACUGACCUGAUUGAUCACGUGAUUUUGAAGACUGGACCAAAAAGCUGGACUGGUUUCCUUGAUGUUCUCAAACUACCUGAUGUUCUGAGCACUUAUCCACAGCUCAAAGAAAUCAUAAAUAAAAUGCUGCGCAGCAAUAGUGGAAGCAGUGCAUAAGAUGUGAUUUUUGAUGCCAGACAGACAAAAGUGAUAUGAUUUAAAUAAGUCUGUUUAUGUUUUUUUUACAUGCCAGUUUUUCUUCUCAAAAUGUUAAGCAAUAUUUUACAAAUCCACCCUUUACCUUCUAAAAUGCACAUAGAAGGAUCACAGCAACAGUGUUUUCAUUUGAGAGAUUAUAACUAACAGUUGUUUUGUUUUAUGAAAAUAUGUCAGCAUAAAAUACUAAUCCUAGUUUUGAUGAAAUUAAAGACUGAAGGCCUCAACUUUUAUCUGUCAUUGGAUGCCAUGUUGAUACAUUUUGACUGGAUUUUCCUACAUGUACAUACUCAGCACAUUAAGGAUGCUGCUGAACAUAAUCUACAAAAUUGGUGAUUUCUUUGUUUUUGGGGGGUUGCCAUGGUAAUGAAAUGGUCAUUUUAAUUAUAGUUGGAACGACGACAGAACCACUUUGGAGUAUGUUGCCAGGUGUUAACAUAUCUGCCUGUGUAUAUAUAAUAAAUAAAUACAUUUUAAUUUUUUAAAGUUGCAUACAGAAUUUUAAAAAAUAUUUCAUUGUACAUAUGUUACUUUACAUACAUACAUACACACACAACAGAUUAGUUAUCGACUAUUAAAAUUAGGAAUUAGUUCAGCCAGUUUAUCUGUGGUAGUGUUUUCAACUUUGUUUUCUCAUCAUGUUUUUAUGUGUUGUCUUGACGAGCAGAUUAAUAAAUAAAAGUCCGAUUUCAGUACAUUUGAAUGAUAUAAUGGUUGAUGAAUGACUUUAAAUUACAUUUGAUUAUUAAUCUAGACUGGUGCUGAAACAACAGCUAAGUAUCUCGGGAAAACAUUUAGUUGUUGGUUUUUAUCUGUCCAUGAAUAAAGCUCAAACAGAGGGGCAAAAUACACAACACAGUGGAAAGAGUGUUCUGGGGACCUUAUUUCCCUCUGAGAACAGCUUGGACAAAGAAAUAUUUAUAGAGUCCUUUUGUGUUUUUAAAGGUAGCCUAUUCUCAGCAAGACACAGGGACAUUUUAGAACCAUCCUGUGGCGAUAAGUCCAUGUUUUUCAAAGUAUUGCAGUGUUUCAGGUGAUUGUGAGGCUGUUAUAAGCUAUUAUUAUUAUUAUUAUUAUUAUUAUUAUUAUUAUUAUUAUUAUUAUUAUUAUUAUUAUUAUUAUUAUUAUUAUUAUUAUUAUUAUUAUUAUUAUCAUCAUUAUUAUAAAAUCAACAAUGAGAACUAAAAGGGUGGGUUUGACUCGGAUGGACUGUUGACCAUCAUUUUACAUCUGAUCACUUUAUAAAAUGUGAUGUAUCACUGUAAAUAAGUAGUAGAAGACGAACUCUGAUCAUUAAUUUAUGUACCUAUGUUAUUUUUUUUUACAAGUGGGUAAGUCCUGCAUUCAAUUUAACUCCAGUAAAAGUAUAAAGGUAUUAACAGCAAAAGUAUCAAAUAGCAUUUAAAUGUUGUGAGGUGAAGUUUAUCUUAUCUGCUUUAUAUGUUUUUUAGGUGGUUUAGAUCAUAACAAUACAUCAUAUUUUAUAAACUGGUCAACUGUUUUGAAAGUAAAAUCAUAAUGUGAAUAAUGAUUCACCACAAAUUAUGAAUGAAGGAAAGAUUCUCGCGACGGUUUUAGAUGUACAAUAAUAGUUUAAAUACUUCAGACAGACGUGAGAAUGUACAGCAACAACUUCGAGAGUGAGAAUUCAGAAAAUGUUGUACACUGAGUAAACGUAUCAUGGAC